UGUAAAGUCAACCUCCAUCUCCGCCUAACCCUCCCCCACCGCCGGACUUCACCCUGAAACUGCGCCAUCGGAGGUGGGGGUCUGCCCCCGUGCAACGCGUUGCAGGGCCAGCGCCUCUAUACCCGCAGUAACUUCGUAGAUACAGACUAACACAGCUGCUACUCUGAAGGGCUACCUGGUGUCUGUCAAUGGCUGCAUGAACAUGCAGCUUGCAAACACAGAAGAAUACGUAGAUGGUGCAUUGUCAGGACACCUUGGCCUUUGAUAAGAUGUAACAAUGUCCUGUACAUCAGAGGAGUAGAAGAAGAAAAUGGAGAAAUGAGAGAGCAAAACUGGCUUUGAGAAGCAGGGCCAACGCCUGGGAUCAAAAAGGACUAUAACAGGUUAAAAAGAUCUCUCAAGAAGAGGUAGUUGUUGGAGAAUUGUUGGGAGAAACCAGACUGACACAGGCACCUCCUGGGAUAUCUGAAGAAGCUGGGAUUGUAGGAUUUAAAUAAGAUAGAUAUGCUUGUUGGUUGACUGUUGUUUCAAAAUCCUUUUUCUCUAAAUGCUUUGUUCCUACUAUUAAACAGUGCUCUGAUUUUGAAAAGGCUGUCUGAUCACUAAAUUUCACAGUAAUCACAUACUCCCAGAAGGAAGAACCACAGGUGCCAAAUUCUGUCAGAUCUCCUGGAUAAAUAUAGUUAAUACAUAGGAUACUAAAAAAAGGAGUACUUGUGAUGUCCGAUGAAGUGAGCUGUAGCUCAUGAAAGCUUAUGCUCAAAUAAAUUUGUUAGUCUCCAAGGUGCCAUAAGUAAUCUUUUCUUUUUGUGGCUACAGACUAACACGGCUGCUACUCUGAAACCUGACAUAGGAUACUGUAGCCCAGGGCGUGGUAUAAGAGUGGGAGAUUUGUAGAAUUCCAUCCCAGGAGAGGCAAGGGCAUGCGGCCUAACAUCUAAUGGGGUGCACUAAGAGAGACCAGGAAGGGGAUGGAGGUGGAGUUAGUCCUACAACCAUGAAAAGCCACUUCACAAGCCCUCUAUGAUAAGAGUUGCAAGAAGGGUGUUCAGGGGUUAGCUGUAGGGGAUAUGAUCCGUAUGUACAUUUGUUAUAACUUAAUUAGAGGAACUCGCGUUUCUAAAAUUUUGUAUUGAAUAUACUCAUUCCUUACCUAUGAGGAAAUCUACUAGUUCAAAAUAUAAAGUGUAAAUUGUCCCAUCAGUAUGAACUCGUCUAUAUAUUUUUGAACUUCUACUAUGAUGUAUUCAUUUGGUAAGAUUUUACUGGCAAAAUUGAGUGUAGUCCUUUUUAAUGACAAACUCUCUGCCUCAUUUUGAGUUUAAACUGGCCUGAAUAUUUCCUUACGUAUUAGUUAGGGCUGUUGAUUAAUCACAAGUAACUCAUGCAAUUAACUCAAAAAAUUAAUUGUGGUUAAAAAAUUAAUUGUGAUUAAUCACACUGUUAAAAGAAUACCAAUUGAAAUUUAU